AUCACUCUUCCAUUUUUUUUCCUUAAUCAUCUCACAACACAAACCGCUCUCUGUCUUAUUCUCCUAACCUCAAUGUCUCACUCUCCUAAUCUCUCUCUCACACACGACGCAUCUCACAAACAGAAGAAAUAGGAGGCGCUAAAGCAACGGCGGAGAAGCCACAGACUCGUCUCUGGUCAAGAAGAUCUGCGUCGGCUUCACCUCUUCACCACCAACACAGAUUUAUUAAAGAGCAGGGAAUGAGAAGCAGUGGUGUGACAUAGCCAGCGUCUCCGGUCAAGCGUGGUGGUACAAGCCGGUGGUGGUCGUGCGGUGGAGAUGCGAGAGCAAUGUCGCGGUGUGGUGAGUGCGGCGGCGACUGAAGAAGUAAAUUAGGUUUAGUUAGGGUUAAUUAGUAAACCAAUUUGUAAUUGUAAACCAUUUUGUAAGUGUAUACCAAUUUGUAAUGGUAAACCAUGUAAACCAAAAUUCAAUUUAUAAAAGUA